UCCGUAGGUGAACCUGCGGUUGGAUCAUUAAAAAAUCUAUAUGGGUGGAAGCUGAGCCUCCCCUAGGGGAAAGCCAGCCUGAAGCUCGACCCACACCUUUGUGAACCACGAACGUAUUUUGGUGAGGCCUUUGCUUGCUGGGGUUAUCUUCCCCACAGCACUGGGAUGGGACGCUGACCGAGCGUCGGCCGACCUCCGCUCGCCUCACCGACCCACACCUGUUUGCAACAUUUUUUGUAUUCAAAAGAGAAAUCAAUGAGAAACAACUUUAGACAACGGAUCUCUUGGCUCUCGCAACGAUGAAGAACGCAGUGAAAUGCGAUACGUAGUGUGAAUUGCAGAAUCCAGUGAAUCAUCGAAUCUUUGAACGCAAAUUGCGCCCUUUGGUAUUCCAGGGGGCAUGCCUGUUUGAGAACCUUUACGUACCUCAACCCCCAAUCGGUGUGGCCACACAUUGUUUGGAGCGUUGGAUCUGGGUCAACCCCGGCCUUUGUGGAAGGGUGGCCUUAAAUUCAAUGUCAGACGGAAGUUUAAGCCAUGGCAAAGACGUGAUAAUAUGGGAUCAGCUUCCUGUUUCUGCGUCGAUAAUCCGUGCUUAACGUGGGCAAUUGUCCCGGCCGGCUGCUCAACCGUUGCCAGGCGCUGGCGCCUCGUCGCUGGCGGAUACCUGAACACCUGGUCUCAAAUCAGACAAGAUCACCCGCUGAACUUAAGCAUAUCAGUAAGCGGAGGAAAAGAAACUAACAAGGAUUCCCUUAGUAACGGCGAGUGAAGCGGGAAAAGCUCAAUUUUGAAAUCUCGCGGGUUCCCCGUGCGAAUUGUAGUUUCGAGAAGCGUUUUCGGGGGCUCCCUGGGCGUAAGUCCUUUGGAAUGAGGCGUCAGAGAGGGUGAGAAUCCCGUCCUUAGCCCGGAGCGAGUCCCUGUGUGAUACGUCUUCAAAGAGUCGGAUAGCUUGGGAAUGCUGUCCAAAACGGGUGGUAAAUACCAUCUAAAGCUAAAUAUUGGCGAGAGACCGAUAGCGAACAAGUACCGUGAGGGAAAGAUGAAAAGAACUUUGAAAAGAGAGUUAAACAGUACGUGAAAUUGUCUAAAGGGAAACGCUUGAAGU
rnacentral:sRNA from 1 species